GACGUAGGGCGCGAGCGUGGUCCGGAUUUAUUGGGCGUAAAGAGCUCGUAGGCGGCUUGUCGCGUCGGCUGUUAAAACCCGCGGCUCAACUGUGGGCGGGCAGCUGAUACGGGCAGGCUGGAGUUCGGUAGGGGAGACUGGAAUUCCUGGUGUAGCGGUGAAAUGCGUAGAUAUCGGAAGGAACACCAAUGGCGAAGGCAGCCGCCUGGGCCUGAUCUGACACUGAGACACGAAAGCGUGGGGAUCAAACAGG
rnacentral:rRNA from 1 species